GAUGAACGCUAGCGGCAGGCUUAACACAUGCAAGUCGAGGGGUAACAGGGUAGCAAUACUGCUGACGACCGGCAAACGGGUGCGGAACACGUACACAAUCUGCCUUUGUCUGGGGGAUAGCCCGAAGAAAUUCGGAUUAACACCCAUAUUAUAAUUAGGUGGCAUCACCUUGAUUAUUAAAACUCCGGUGGACAAAGAUGAGUGUGCGUCCCAUUAGCUAGUUGGUAGGGUAACGGCCACCAAGGCGACGAUGGGUAGCUGGUGUGAGAGCACGACCAGCCACACGGGCACUGAGACACGGGCCCGACUCCUACGGGAGGCAGCAGUGAGGAAUAUUGGUCAAUGGACGCAAGUCUGAACCA
rnacentral:rRNA from 1 species